AAAAAACAUGGACUUCAUUUUCUUAUUUAUUUUUUUUACAUCUUCCACAUGCAAAGCAGAUCAAACAAUUUACCUCAUGUAUCUAAUACAACAAAAACGUGCUUCCUCUGAAAAAUUUCUACAAGAUUGCUAAAUCAAGAUAAGUUAAACACACAAAUAUAAAGCUAAAUGAUUGUUCAACAAUUAAAUGCUCAGACAAGUAAAUAAAUCUUAUUAAGAUUGGAAUUGAUGUCGAAUUCCAACUCAGGGUCAUAAGUUCAUAGCAUAGUUGAUCUAAAUCUGAUGUUCAUGGGAAAAUAAUUGCAAUCCUCUGUUGCUUCUGUCUUUCUUGCCAUCACCUCUGUUGCCCUCACAUGCUUAAAUAUCAACAAUAAAAAUUAACAUCCUUUAUUUAUAAUCAAGAAGCAAACUUACAAAGCAUAAUAACUAAUGUUAAAUUUUGAAUUGUAAAAAAGUCACAAACUCAACGGAGAAAACUAGGUGGAAAUUUUUGAAAGAAGAUGAUAACUGAAAGUUCUAGAGUCAAAAUGUAAGUACUUUACUUUCC
rnacentral:lncRNA from 1 species